AAAGGCAAAUUACUUCCUGUUAUUGGUCCGUUUAGACGUCUUUGGUCCAUGUUGCAUUCAUAUAUCAAUCGAACCGCACCAGAGUUUGUUUGGAAGCGGUCCAAGAGCCACUAUUCAAGGGGUCUUGCGCCGCUUGUUUGGUGCACACAAGGUUCGGGUGGCAGCAUUCACACAUGUUCAAAUGAACCGCACUAACAGAGCAAUCACAUCAGAGAUCGUUUUAAUCAAAGCAAACCUGCCAAGUGUGAACACACCCUAAAACACCUAAAAAAAUUAUCCUAGUGAAUUUUUGUUUUUUCAUAGUGCAGUUCAGUGCUUCCUCAAAUUAAUAGAAGUACUUCAUUUUAGCAUUCCUUAUUACAGGCAGUAUGGAUAUCUGGUGGUGUGGCUUCCAGCAGUCCUGCUGUUGCUGGUGAUUGUGGCUGCCAUUGCAACUGUAAUACUGAAAAAGAAGCACAAUAAAAAUAAAUCCCAUGUUGGAGAUAAUGAAGCUAGUAACACAGAAAACUGGUUGUCUUCCUCCACUUUGGAUCCAUGGACUGAAGUGUUCUAUAGAUCUGAGAUCACACCAACCACUACAGCAUUGAGUGAAUUCAGAACAUUCAGUUGUGUUUAAACCUAAUCGCAAAGUGUUUCAAUGAGAUGGAAGUGCUGAUUUUAUUCUAUUACAAGCA